CCUACGGGUGGCAGCAGUGAGGAAUAUUGGUCAAUGGUCGGGAGACUGAACCAGCCAAGCCGCGUGAGGGAGGAAGGUACAGAGUAUCGUAAACCUCUUUUGUCAGGGAACAAAGGCGGGGACGUGUCCCCGGAUGAGUGUACCUGAAGAAAAAGCAUCGGCUAACUCCGUGCCAGCAGCCGCGGUAAUACGGAGGAUGCGAGCGUUAUCCGGAUUUAUUGGGUUUAAGGGGUGCGCAGGCGGUCUGUUAAGUCAGCGGUAAAAGCCCGGGGUUCAACCCCGGCCCGCCGUUGAAACUGGCAGUCUCGAGUUGGAGAGAAGUAUGCGGAAUGCGCGGUGUAGCGGUGAAAUGCAUAGAUAUCGCGCAGAACUCCGAUUGCGAAGGCAGCAUGCCGGCUCCACACUGACGCUGAGGCUCGAAAGUGUGGGUAUCAAACAGGAUUAGAUACCCGAGUAGUC
rnacentral:rRNA from 1 species